GAAAUCCCAAAACCUAUCUUGAAGACGUGGCGGCUGAUGAAUACAAUGACAUUUCCGACGAGAUGCUCGACUGGCUCCAGCGAGAUGUUCGACGGGCUCGAAUAAAGCGACGAUGAAAUUGAAAUGGAGUCGUCUGUGGCUGAUGCAGAGUCGGCGAUUCGGGAUGAGGAAUUCAGGUGGCAGAGAGUGGAGAAGCUCUGCGAAGAUGUGAAGCAGUUCGGCGAGGAAAUGAUUGACGAUGGCUUUCUCGCCUCUAUCUACAAUUUCCGAAUCGAUAAAUUUCAGGUGCAUUGGAUUUGAUGAAGAUAUGCUUUAGUCUGCGAGAGUUUCAUCUGUUUUGCUUGACUGAGUGAUUCAAAUGAUGUAAUGAUCUACCUAUGCCUCUGCAUUGCAUUGAAUUUUCGGCUUAUAUAUGCCGCCGUUGAUGGAAUACUUAGUCUCCAUGCUCUCGGUUUUGAGGUGCGGUGAGGCGUUUCUGCCUCUGGACCCUUCUUGGCCAAAACAGAGGCUAUUCUCCAUCAUUGUUUUGGCCAAUGUUGACCUUAUAAUCACCUGCAGGACUCCGUUUGGGUACAAAUUGGACUCCAAUUGGCUCGAGCAAAGUUGCAAUAGAAACUCUCUGUGGUUUUCCAUAGGUGGAGAGUUUGUGACAGUGAGUGAUGGAGGAGAGUGUAGGCGUGAGAGUGAGAAAGAGGAUGAGAGGCUGUUCUGUUAUGUAAUGUACAGUUCGGGCUCGACGGGGAAGCCGAAAGGUGUUUGUGGCACUGAACAAGGUCUUUGGAAUCGGUUUCUGUGGAUGCAAGAAUUGUAUCCACUGAAUGGAGAGGAGGUUUUGUUGUUCAAGACAGCAAUAAGCUUUGUUGAUCACUUUCAAGCAUUUCUUAACGCUAUUCUUACUGGUUUUGCUUUGGUUAUACCUCCUUUCAAUCAACUUAAACAGAAUGUGUUCUCCAUUGUGGAUUUUCUACAGGAGAUAGAACUAAUGUAAUGUGGAACCUGAAUAAGCUGCAACACAUCCAGAAUUUAAAUUAUUCCUAUUCUGGAGGUGUAGUCUUGGCUUCUCAAGAUGGGAAGAUUGUGCGUGACAACACUCUCGACGCACGAUUGGAUGUUGUAUUCAGUAUUCUGUAAAAAACUUCCUGAGAUCCUCAUAAGGCUUUUUAAUCAGGUUGUUGCAUAAUGGGAAGAAUUAUAUUUCAAGUCAUUAGUUCCUAGCAUGGUCUUUGACCAAAGGAUCUAUUGUUCAGUUGUUUAUUUAUGUAUUUCCAAUUUUCAUGUUCUCUGAAGAACUUUCGUGGUAAAUUAGCAAAUUAGCUUUCUAGAAAUAGUACAGUGCCUGUAUAACAUUUCAUGUCACUGGCCAGGUCACAUUGCAUGUCACUGACCACGUCACUAUUAUACAAAUGUCACUGACCAUUGUAUUUGAGAUACUAAUUUUUUGACAUAUUGC